rnacentral:rRNA from 1 species
CGACGGACGCGGAGGGACUACGGGAAGGCAGCAGUGGGGAAUAUUGCACAAUGGGCGCAAGCCUGAUGCAGCCAUGCCGCGUGUGUGAAGAAGGCCUUCGGGUUGUAAAGCACUUUCAGCGGGGAGGAAGGCGAUAAGGUUAAUAACCUUGUCGAUUGACGUUACCCGCAGAAGAAGCACCGGCUAACUCCGUGCCAGCAGCCGCGGUAAA